CCUACGGGAGGCUGCAGUGGGGAAUAUUGCACAAUGGGGGAAACCCUGAUGCAGCGACGCCGCGUGAAGGAAGAAGUAUUUCGGUAUGUAAACUUCUAUCAGCAGGGAAGAAAAUGACGUUACCUGACUAAGACGCCCCGGCUAACUACGUGCCAGCAGCCGCGGUAAUACGUAGGGGGCAAGCGUUAUCCGGAUUUACUGGGUGUAAAGGGAGCGUAUGCGGUUUAGCAAGUCAGAAGUGACAGCCCGGGGCUCAACUCCGGGACUGCUUUUGAAACUGUUGAACUAGAGUGCAGGAGAGGUAAGCGGAAUUCCUAGUGUAGCGGUGAAAUGCGUAGAUAUUAGGAGGAACACCAGUGGCGAAGGCGGCUUACUGGACUGUAAAUGACGCUGAGGCUCGAAAGCGUGGGGAGCAAACAGGAUUAGAUACCCGUGUAGUC
rnacentral:rRNA from 1 species